GUGUAAAGGCAUAAGGGAGCUUGACUGCGAGACCUACAAGUCGAGCAGGGUCGAAAGACGGACUUAGUGAUCCGGUGGUUCCGCAUGGAAGGGCCAUCGCUCAACGGAUAAAAGCUACCCCGGGGAUAACAGGCUUAUCUCCCCCAAGAGUUCACAUCGACGGGGAGGUUUGGCACCUCGAUGUCGGCUCAUCGCAUCCUGGGGCUGUAGUCGGUCCCAAGGGUUGGGCUGUUCGCCCAUUAAAGCGGUACGCGAGCUGGGUUCAGAACGUCGUGAGACAGUUCGGUCCCUAUCCGUCGUGGGCGUAGGAAAUUUGAGAGGAGCUGUCCUUAGUACGAGAGGACCGGGAUGGACAUACCUCUGGUGUACCAGUUGUCGUGCCAACGGCAUAGCUGGGUAGCUAUGUGUGGACGGGAUAAGUGCUGAAAGCAUCUAAGCAUGAAGCCCCCCUCAAGAUGAGAUUUCCCAACUUCGGUUAUAAGAUCCCUCAAAGAUGAUGAGGUUAAUAGGUUCGAGGUGGAAGCAUGGUGACAUGUGGAGCUGACGAAUACUAAUCG
rnacentral:rRNA from 1 species